UUAGUAUUUUUAAUUAGAUUUGAAUUACAAUUGAGGAUUUAUUCCUUAUUUUGCCCUAGUUAUUUUGGUGCUACAUGCCUCUGUUUUCUUAAGGAGUGGUUAAAUUUAUAUCUUCCGAUUUUUCUUUUGAUGUUCUUCCAGUACUUUAAAACCCCUUUGACGAAUGGCAAGUGGCGGUUUGUGUUUUCCUCAUCUUUUGCUCGCUUCUGGGAGGGCUCAACUUGCUUUGCUUGGUUUUGGAGUCAAGCUCCCCGCUCCUCAUCCCCUUAGGUGGCAGAGGAGAUGAAGACUUGGCUAUUAGCCCGCCUAUCUUCGAUUUCUCCGGUUCUUUGAGCUUUCUCUGUGUUUGAUUUUGGCUGGAGCUUGAGUGACUUGGCUCUGGUUCUGCCAUGGUUGCAGAGUUGGUGAUUGUAGGUUUGCGCUUGUGGGGCAUUUCCUCUGCCCUGUUCGGGGCAUGCGACGGCAGAACUUGAUGAUGGCUCUAGAAGCUUUUCGAGUUAAGGUUUCUGGAUUUGUCCUCAGUUUGGGCCUCGUAGGCUUUGGACUUUUAGUUUUUUGCCUUUUGUUUUUGGGCUUGGGCCCUCAGCCCACCUCCUAUUUUG
rnacentral:misc_RNA from 1 species